CCUACGGGUGGCAGCAGUGGGGAAUAUUGGGCAAUGGGCGCAAGCCUGACCCAGCAACGCCGCGUGAAGGAAGAAGGCUUUCGGGUUGUAAACUUCUUUUCUCAGGGACGAAGAAAGUGACGGUACCUGAGGAAUAAGCCACGGCUAACUACGUGCCAGCAGCCGCGGUAAUACGUAGGGGGCAAGCGUUAUCCGGAUUUACUGGGUGUAAAGGGAGCGUAGACGGCUAAUCAAGUCAGAAGUGAAAACCCAGGGCUCAACCUUUGGGUUGCUUUUGAAACUGUGUAGCUAGAUUGCAGGAGAGGUAAACGGAAUUCCUAGUGUAGCGGUGAAAUGCGUAGAUAUUAGGAGGAACACCAGUGGCGAAGGCGGCUUACUGGACUGUAACUGACGUUGAGGCUCGAAAGCGUGGGGAGCAAACAGGAUUAGAUACCCGGGUAGUC
rnacentral:rRNA from 1 species